AACUAAAUUGGAAACUAUCGGUAAUUUAAAGUAAACCUGCCGUCGAUGCUAUCGAUGUUGUAAACUAUCGAUGGCAUAGUUAUCGAUAGUUCUGCACCUUUAAUAAGCGCGAGCCGCAGACGUUAAACCACGUUAAACGGCGUCGCGAGGAAAAUAAGUAUUAUUUACGUAUCUUAAUAUAUAGCAAAAAUUAUAUCAAACGUCAAACAGUACAAAAAUGAAUACCACGGAAGCUGAGACUGUUGCCGAUCAAGUUCAGAAUAUGAUUAUUUCUCUUUGCGGUGAACAGAAGCCAGAGUUGAUUAGAAGAUUUAUGCGUUUUUCCCUUGGGUUAUUGUCAUCUACUCAUGGUAUAGAAACACUAAGAGAGGAUGAAGUAACUGUAGCAACAUAUAUAAGGAACAAAUUAUCGGAGCGUGAUGCAAUAGAAUUUGAUAAAUUACACAGUGAUUUAAAAGAUGGGCCACUGAAGAAUCGCAUAAGUAUUCUAAUAUUUUUGCUGAACAUGGGUCAGCCAGCAGAACAGAUAAAGGACAGAGUUUUCUCGUUUCCAGACAUGAAAUUGGGUUUAAGUCCAAUUGCAUCCACUAGUGGGCAAUCAUCACAAACAUCAUGUUCUCAAGCACAAGUCGUGUCUGUGAAUACCACAGAGACAAAUUCAAGAGGAUUAUUGGUAAACCAAAGUAAAAUAUUCAAUGAGGAGUACGUUUCAGAAGAUGUACUGGUCCAGGACUUGAUAUAUUCUUUUCAAAGUGUGGAAGGGAAGAUCUUAAAGUUAGACUCAAGCUACGGCUUUCAGAUAGAUUCCACAGCCAAAAUUAAUAGGUCACAAAGGCAAGCUGUUUCAAGACUGAGUGAGCUGGGAUACUUACAUAAUGUAGUGCGAAGAGGUUUGGAGAGAAUGUCCGGGGCCAAUGCAGGCAGGGUCGCCGACAGUUUUGUCGCUGCGCUGCAUAAAGAAUUGUCAGAAUAUUAUAGGUUUAUAGCCAUAAUGCAAGAAGAAGUGAAUAGAUCGCAAAAUCAAAUAGUUACGUACGGAGUUACACUCUCUCACCUGCAUCUCUGGACGUGCGAUCCUUUCGAGACAUUAAAGUGGUUGGCCAGCAUAGUGAGAGCCUGUCAAGGUCUAAAAGGCGGUGCAUUAGCGUCUGCCGUUUACAACUUUAGCUGUCACGGCGACGCGAACGUGAAGAAUCUUGUCAAGAGAAUCUUGGAAAGUGUCUGUAGUCCCUUGUACAAUAUGUUAAUGAAAUGGAUCGCUGAUGGAGAAUUGGACGAUCCGUAUAAAGAGUUCUUCAUUCAAGCGUGCGCCGAUGUUAGCGGCGACCGAAUGUGGCAUGACAAGUACCAGGUGAAAAAUUCCAUGUUGCCGUCGUUUAUCAGCAAGGCGCAAGCGAAGAAGAUUCUGGGGACGGGCAAGAGCAUCAACUUUUUGCGCGAAGUUUGCAAAGAUUUUACGCCGUGGCAAGGCAGACACACGGAUAUGUUCAUAAAUGGCGACGAAGUAUAUAAUGUUGAGGUUUUUUUCGAUAUGGACCCGGACGGUCGCUUACAAACUACGAUGGACGCCGCUUACAAGGAAACCGCGGCUAGAGUUGUCGAGAUAUUAACGAAACAGUAUCAUCUAAUGGAACACCUACAGGGAAUCAAGAGUUACCUCUUGCUUGGCCAAGGCCACUUUAUCCAACACCUGAUGCACUUAUUAGGGCCCGAAUUGGCUAAGCCAUCGAAUUCCCUAUAUCCUCAUAACAUAUCAUCUAUACUCGAUACCGCAAUAAGAGCGACCAGUACAAAAUUGGACGACUUAGAUGUUCAGAGACGCUUAGACGUCAGAUUAUUAGAUCCUUCAGAAAACGAAACAGGAUGGGACGUUUUCUAUUUAGAUUAUAAUGUCGACGGGCCGAUAGGCACAAUUCUGGAGCCAUGCAGGCAGACGUAUCAAACGGUAUUCUUCGCGUUAUGGCGGGCAAAGAGGAUGGAGUCGAUUCUGUCCGGUAUUUGGAAGCGGCAGACGACGUCGGCCAAAAUGUUCAGAAGAAUGCCGGAAGUGUUGCCGAUCCAGAACCAUAUACACUUGAUCACCAGCAGCAUGGUCCAUUUGGUUCAUCAGAUGCUAUAUUACUUUUUAUUCGAGGUGAUCGAGUGUUCAUGGGACACAUUCGCGAAGCAACUUGUUCAGGCAACGUCUCUCGACGACAUAAUCGUGGCUCAUAAUUAUUUUGUCGAUUCUGUCAGACAUGGUACAUUAUUAGACGAGAAGUCGCAGAAACUGAUGGAUCACCUACGCUCCGUCUACUACCCGAUCCAGGAUCUCCAGAAUCACGAGGAAACUUUCCUGGUGCGUGCUACUCAAGAAUACGAAGCGAGAUUAAAAACCGAUGGUUUUGCGCAACCGAAGAAAUCGGACCGUACGAAUAAAAAGGAUCAGGAAGCUGUGGAGAGAGAAGCGGCGUUUUCGAAGUAUCUGAACACGUUCUCGAGACAACUGAAACUACUUUCGAGAACUUAUCAAGAUCGUGUGAAAAAAUUUUUACUUAUGCUUGCCUCUGCUGAAGACGUAUCGUUGCAGUUACUCAGCGUACGAUUAGAUUUUAACGAAUAUUACAAGAGUCAGGAUAACCGACUAGUUGCGCCGUUAACGUAUCAACACCGUAGACAAAGCGAUCAGACUUUCUUUGGAUGCAAGUGACAAUCGGUAGCGGAAAAUUCAUUAGAAGCCUUAAGUGAUUCAAGUCACAUUUCUAAUAAAUGUUAUAUCCAAACCGCUGUACAGAAUUCGUCUGAUUUUAACAACCACAAUCGUCCGAAAUGAUGACAGAUAUCGAUGGCUCUGUCGCUUUGCACAAAAGAAGGUGUAGAACCAAUCUGAAAAAUGCCGAACUAAGUAAACGUACGUUUAGGAUAUUUUUGGAAAAACAGAUAUUGUCACACGUUAAAGUAGAGAUACGGAAAAAUACCGACGAGGUUCAAACUCCUUCAACGCCCGUCUUCGACUAUAACGAGGGCGAUCUUACGUUAAAUUAUGCACGAUUAGCGUUUCAGCCGUUUCGAACAACCAUGUCCGGAGAGAAGUCGUUCAUUAAAAGUGAUUUGAAUCUACCGAGCUUAGAAGCUGAGGCGUGUCCCAUUGACAAAGCUGUAAGAGUGGCUGAUGCAAC
rnacentral:misc_RNA from 1 species